rnacentral:rRNA from 1 species
CGAUUGAGUUUGAUCAUGGCUCAGGAUGAACGCUGGCGGCGUGCCUAAUACAUGCAAGUCGAGCGCAACUUCUUAUACCGAACCUUCGGGUUCACUUUAAGAGUUGAGCGGCGGACGGGUGAGUAACACGUAGGCAACCUACCCUUAAGACUGGGAUAACUACGGGAAACCGUAGCUAAUACCGGAUAAUACCUUUACUCAAAAGAGUAAAGAUUGAAAGAUGGAUUUUCUAUCACUUAAGGAUGGGCCUGCGGCGCAUUAGCUAGUUGGUGAGGUAGUAGCUCACCAAGGCGACGAUGCGUAGCCGACCUGAGAGGGUGAUCGGCCACACUGGGACUGAGACACGGCCCAGACUCCUACGGGAGGCAGCAGUAGGGAAUCUUCCGCAAUGGACGCAAGUCUGACGGAGCAACGCCGCGUGUGUGAUGAAGGAUUUCGGUUCGUAAAGCACUGUUGUUAAGGAAGAAUAGUAGUAAGAGUAACUGUUUACUAAUUGACGGUACUUAACCAGAAAGCCACGGCUAACUACGUGCCAGCAGCCGCGGUAAUACGUAGGUGGCAAGCGUUAUCCGGAAUUAUUGGGCGUAAAGCGCGCGUAGGCGGCAAGAUUAGUCUGAUGUGAAAGCCCCCGGCUCAACCGGGGAGGGUCAUUGGAAACUGUCUUGCUUGAGUGCAGAAGAGGAGAGUGGAAUUCCAUGUGUAGCGGUGAAAUGCGCAGAGAUAUGGAGGAACACCAGUGGCGAAGGCGGCUCUCUGGUCUGCAACUGACGCUGAUGUGCGAAAGCGUGGGGAUCAAACAAGAUUAGAUACCCUGGUAGUCCACGCCGUAAACGAUGAGUGCUAAGUGUUA